rnacentral:lncRNA from 1 species
ACGACAGGCGUGCCCUUGACAGGCAGGGAGGGCUAGGCUGUGCAUCCCUCCGCUCGCAUUGCAGGGAGGAAGCCCUCUCAGGGUCAGUGGCCACCCCUCACUUCCAGAGCCCUGCAGACCCCACAAUGCAGUCCUGGUGGCCUGACUGUAACACCCAACCCAGCCCGGACAAUAUACACCACGAGGAUCUCCUUGACAACCUUUAAUAUCCAGGAUGGACCUGACUUUCAAGACCGAGUGGUCAACAGUGAGACACCAGUGGUUGUGGAUUUCCACGCACAGUGUCAGCGGUGCCCACUGUGCUGGCCAUGAAGAAUGGGGACGUGGUGGACAAGUUUGUGGGCAUCAAGGAUGAGGAUCAGUUGGAGGCCUUCCUGAAGAAGCUGAUUGGCUGACAAGCAGGGAUGAGUCCUGGUUCCCUUGCCCGCGUGGGACCCCAAUAGAACUCAGCCCUUCCAUGCCAGCCCUUCCUGCUGCCUCCCUCCUGUCUGGCUCCUGGGGCCCAUGCUUAGAGCCCAGGCUCCAGCCCUGAGUGCUUCCGAGCUGGCGGACUGCCCAGGGGCCAUCAGAGGAUGGUGGUGCUGCUGCUGAUCCGGGGACCGCUGUCU